rnacentral:lncRNA from 1 species
GUCUGAGGAUGUCAAUUUCCCACAUGGCGAAGGGCCAAGGGGUGACAAUUGGUGUAAGCUCGAUCAUCAAUCUUCAUUGGAUAAUGGCAUACCUUUGGCAUUGCUUGCACUUCUUGACGAGGUUGGCUACAUCUUAUUGUAGAGUGGGCCAAUAGUAUCCUUAUCAGAUUAUCUUCUAAGCUAGCAACUUGCCUCCCAAGUGAUUACUAUAGAUCCCUCAUGGAUCUCCCACAGCAUGUAAUUCACAUUAAUUGACUAUAGGCACCG